rnacentral:rRNA from 1 species
UACGUAGGGUGCAAGCGUUAAUCGGAAUUACUGGGCGUAAAGCGUGCGCAGGCGGCUUUGCAAGACAGAUGUGAAAUCCCCGGGCUCAACCUGGGAACUGCAUUUGUGACUGCAUGGCUAGAGUACGGUAGAGGGGGAUGGAAUUCCGCGUGUAGCAGUGAAAUGCGUAGAUAUGCGGAGGAACACCGAUGGCGAAGGCAAUCCCCUGGACCUGUACUGACGCUCAUGCACGAAAAGCGUGGGGGAGCAAAC